UAAAAUGCUAAAAAGACCAAGUUGACUGUUAAAAAUGUGUUUGUAUUGUUAUUCUCAGAAAAGAUUGUUGAGCUUUAUUUUGAAAGCUGGAAAGAUAGUGUAAACAGGAAGCGGGUAACAGGAAGUAGGAAGUAUAGAGGAGACCUGAAAACAGAGAAAGAACAUGGUGCAGUUGUAUAGUUUCUCAUGUUGAAUCCAGUGUAAUCCUGCAUAUGAAUCCCUCAGAAAGCAAUGGCUUUUCACUCCAAUUCAAUGUGUCAUCUUGACUUGACCUGCUGUGAAAGAAGUCAUUAAAGGAGCAAGCACGCUCACUUCCUGGCUCUUGAAAA